AGGACGAACGCUGGCGGCGUGCCUAAUACAUGCAAGUCGAACGGUCUUUCUAUGGAAGCUUGCUUCCACUGAGAAGAUAGUGGCGAACGGGUGAGUAACACGUGGGUAACCUGCCCAUAAGAGGGGGAUAACAUCCGGAAACGGGUGCUAAUGCCGCAUAGUUUUCUUGAUCGCAUGAUUGAGAAAGGAAAGACGGCCUUUGUGCUGUCGCUUAUGGAUGGACCCGCGGCGUAUUAGUUAGUUGGUGAGGUAACGGCUCACCAAGACGAUGAUACGUAGCCGACCUGAGAGGGUGAUCGGCCACAUUGGGACUGAGACACGGCCCAAACUCCUACGGGAGGCAGCAGUAGGGAAUCUUCCGCAAUGGACGAAAGUCUGACGGAGCAACGCCGCGUGAGUGAAGAAAGGUUUUCGGAUCGUAAAACUCUGUUGUCAGAGAAGAACAAGUUGGAGAGUAACUGCUCCAGCCUUGACGGUAUCUGACCAGAAAGCCACGGCUAACUACGUGCCAGCCGCUGC
rnacentral:rRNA from 1 species